ACUCUUCGGUGACUGGCAAUGCUUCCUGAAUGAAAGAAACAUCUACUUGACCUCCUCACAGUCUCCCUUUCUAUAGUGCAAGCUCGACUAGACAGUUUUGACAAUAGUGAUAUUAAGGCUCUGCUUGGUGCCAUGCAAUCUGCAUUUGGGGUGCCAGCUAGCCACAGGACUCAUCUGGAAAAAAACAACGGCCCAACCCUGAGAACUUUGGGAUUCACGGGAAAUUACAGUUCCCCUGAUGAUGCAGGACCGGACCAGGAUUUCACUCAUCAACUGGCCUAGAUUAAGGAGAAAGAAAUCUACAUUUCUGAACCUGGUAACGUCUGAGCAUACUCAUGGAAGAAAGAGCUGGCCUAUGAGCUUUUGCAUACCGAGUCCGAAAAAGUCAGUCAGUGAAAACACAUUAUUUCUUCCGGAGACACUCAGAGGGGGUCACUGCUUGCUAACCCUGUAAAUCCUUGAAGGGGAACAUAGUUCUGAGACUUUUCACGUCAUCUGAACUAAGUCUUUAGGACCCCAAUGUAAUCGGACUCCCCACUUUCUUCAGGCUGUUCCCAAAGGAGGGAUAUGAGGAAACUCCUCUUCACGGUUAGUGCUGGCCUUGUUUGUUUUUGUAGUGUCAGAAAAUAUGUUCUUAAAAUGGGCCCUGUUAAAGUUUGGCAAUAUAUUGUUCUGACUAGAGUCACCAAAACAAAUGUUUUUGUCAAAAACUUUUAAUUUAUCUUGUGUGAAGGAAGAAAUGUCAUUGAAUUUCCUCCUAAAACCUAAACAGAUUUUGGAAAUUGAAGCUUUAAUAUGCUGAAGGUGGUAUUUCAGUGGCAACACCCUUGACCUUGAUACAUGUUUGUCUUGGAUGUUGAGAGAGGAAACUCUAGGUUGUUAAGCCCACAUAAAUCUCUGGAUUCUUCUCAAAGGUCCAUUAAGAACACAAUAAAAUAUCUUCAUGAAUGAUCCUCCAUUUGGAAACAAAUGCAUUUGGAUGAGGGACCAUCUCUCGAAGCUAAGACCAUCUACAUUCUUACCAUGACUGUGAGACUGAUACUGCCCACAACGAUACCAGUACUGAGUGAUGAAGAACAUUUUGCUAAGUUGUUCUAUCGUGGUCCUUGCUUAAGGGGAUUGUUGGACGGAUGUUGUGGGAACUGAACUUGAAGAAGGAAGAGCCCAUCAUUUGGACACAUCUUAGGGCUUCCCAGCUGCACCAGGUUAUGGACAAGGGACCUGGAACCCCAACCCUUCCAGUCACUAACCACAUGGCCUGAGAUGUCAUUUCAUGCAGCUGGGCUCUUUGUGCUCAUCAGCAAGUGAUGUAAAUAAAGCAUGUGAGGUUAGCACACCGUAUAUUCUCAAAUCCUGGAGCUACUGGUCCUCUUGUGACUAUUAUUAUUAUUAAUAUUAUAAUGAACUUUUGAAAAAAUUA
rnacentral:lncRNA from 1 species